UCUGUAACAGUCCAAACCGCCACCGGCGCUAGGAUCCAGAUCGGCUUAAGGCCGCCGGGACCCGUAGCAAGCCAAACAUACCUCCUAUCACCUGGUCAAAUCCCAUACAUGAUCAAAACUUUAACAUAAAAACUUAAACAUAUGAUGUAAAUACCGAGCUUGACCUGUAUGCGACAUAACUGAAAACAUCAAGAACCCCCUACUAGAGCCC
rnacentral:lncRNA from 1 species